rnacentral:tRNA from 1 species
GGCUGCUUAGCUCAGUCGGUAGAGCGAUGGAAUCAUAAUCCACAGGUCGUUGGUUCGAGUCCGACAGCAGCCACCA